GGGAAGCCAAUGAACUGGUGAAAUACAUGACUCACACAUAAUUCCUUAACAUAUUUGUAGGUACCAUCUGUUUUUUAAUACAUACAUAGCAUUUCUCUUAUAGAGAGAUUAUUGCGAAAUUAUAGAUGUCGCCAGUGAACUUUGCAUAUGUUGGUGGGCUAAUUCUUCACGCCGGCAGUGUCGAUGACAACCAGGGGUGGAGCUGAAACUCAAAAUUUUAUUAGUUAAGGGGAG
rnacentral:lncRNA from 1 species